GCUUCCUUGGUGUAGUCGGUUAUCACGUCGGUCUCAUAUCUCAGCGAGGUUAUGAUUGUUCAUAAGAACAAGCAAUCCGAAGGCCGCCAGUUCGAAUCUGGCAGGGAGCA